UCAGAAGAUAAAUGCGAAAGUUUGUUUGUCGGUUUGUCCUUCAAUCACGUCUCGACGGAGCAAUGGAUCAGCGU